rnacentral:tRNA from 2 species
CAGGGAAUAGUUUAAAUAGAACUUCAGCUUUGGGUGUUGAUAGUGGGGUAUGGCUUCUUA